rnacentral:rRNA from 1 species
AUAUUAAAGAUUCAUCGGUAAGAGAUGAGUAUGCGUUCUAUUAGCUAGUGGUGCGGUAACGGCGCACCAGGCUACGAUAGAUAGGGGCCCUGAGAGGGGGAUCCCCCCACACUGGUACUGAGACACGGACCAG